AAUCCUAUAUAUACCAAAAACCCCAGAAAUAAACAAAGAACUUAUGCUCCGCUGUUGCAACACUUUGUAUCAACAAAAACACAUAUGAAGCCUUUCGAGUACCCUAUCUGAGAGGGGAAAUAAUCUCCGGUGGCCAUCUUCAUCAUCCUGGCAGAGGCCAUGACGAGGAGGGAGUAGUUCACCCUCGGGGUUGAGAGUAUGUACUAG
rnacentral:lncRNA from 1 species